AUAUUAAAGGAAACUAGAAGCAGGAGCAAAAAUGAUGAACUAGGCCUCAGAUCAGGUAGGGAUACCCGCUGAACUUAAGCAUAUCAAUAAGCGGAGGAAAAGAAACCAACAGGGAUUGCCUCAGUAACGGCGAGUGAAGCGGCAAAAGCUCAGAUUUUAAAUCUAAUGUUCUUUGGACAUUCGAGUUGUAAUCUGUAGAGAGGUGUUCGGGUAGUGGCUUGGCUCAAGUUCCUUGGAACAGGAUAUCAUGGAGRGUGAGAAUCCCGUGAAUGGCCUUGCAUACUACUCACUGUGAACCUUCUUCAACGAGUCGAGUUGUUUGGGAAUGCAGCUCUAAAUGGGUGGUAAAUUUCAUCUAAAGCUAAAUACUGGCAGGAGACCGAUAGCGCACAAGUAGAGUGAUCGAAAGAUGAAAAGAACUUUGGAAAGAGAGUUAAAUAGUACGUGAAAUUGUUGAAAGGGAAGCACUUGCUCCCAGACUUGCCUGUAGCUGAUCAACCUUCAUUCUUUGUGGGUGCACUUGGUUAUUUUGGGCAGGCCAGCAUCAGUUCAGACAGAGNNAAAAGGCCUAGGGGAAUGUGACUCUCUUCGGAGGGUGUUNUANCCUCUGGUGUGUGAUAUCUCUAGUCCUGGACUGAGGACCGCGC
rnacentral:rRNA from 1 species